rnacentral:rRNA from 1 species
UACGUAGGGUGUAAGCGUUAAUCGGAAUUACUGGGCGUAAAGCGUGCGCAGGCGGCUUUGCAAGACAGAUGUGAAAUCCCCGGGCUUAACCUGGGAACUGCAUUUGUGACUGCAAGGCUAGAGUACGGUAGAGGGGGAUGGAAUUCCGCGUGUAGCAGUGAAAUGCGUAGAUAUGCGGAGGAACACCGAUGGCGAAGGCAAUCCCCUGGACCUGUACUGACGCUCAUGCACGAAAGCGUGGGGAGCAAACAGG